UCUGGUUCGUGUUUCGACUCAGUUUGGUUUGGAUCUUGGCUCAGCUUAGCUCCGAUUCAGUUUUGGUUCUCGGUUUGUUUCGACUCACGCAGUUCGGUUCAGAUUCGGAUCGAUUUGGUUCAGAUCCGGUUCAGUCGAGUUCAAUCGGUUCGGUUCGAUGCCCGGGUCAAACCUGGUCAAACUUGGUCAACUGAGGUCUCGAUGCACUCGGUAGUUCAAUGACGGUGACCUCGGUGUUCCACCCUCCAAAUCUUUUACGCUCGUCAACACUUGGAUAAUCGGAAGACUUAGCAAUUAUGUUGACAGUCAAGAUGUUGAAGAAUCAAGUUAGGAUGGACUAGAUACCCAUUUUAAUAAUAAACCAUGUUUGUUGCAAUUUGUCUUUAUUUGAAUCAAUGUAUUUGAAUUUAGUCAUUUAUGAAAUUUGAUU
rnacentral:lncRNA from 1 species